GGCCGCGGGAAUUCGAUUCAGGCCUAACACAUGCAAGUCGAGCGAUUCUCUUCGGAGAAGAGCGGCGGACGGGUGAGUAACGCGUGGGUAACCUGCCCUGUACACACGGAUAACAUACCGAAAGGUAUGCUAAUACGAGAUAAUAUGCUUUUAUCGCAUGGUAGAAGUAUCAAAGCUUUUGCGGUACAGGAUGGACCCGCGUCUGAUUAGCUAGUUGGUGAGGUAACGGCUCACCAAGGCGACGAUCAGUAGCCGACCUGAGAGGGUGAUCGGCCACAUUGGAACUGAGACACGGUCCAAACUCCUACGGGAGGCAGCAGUGGGGAAUAUUGCACAGGGGGCGAAAGCCUGAUGCAGCAACGCCGCGUGAGCGAAGGAGGCCUUCGGGUCGUAAAGCUCUGUCCUCAAGGAAGAUAAUGAC
rnacentral:rRNA from 1 species